CCUCGCCUCCGGCAGCCAUGGCAACCGCAGCCGGGCCUGUGCGCGCCGAGGGCAGCUGGGGCACGCGGCCCAGCCGCCGGGGCCGCCACGCGCUCCCGGAGACAAGCCAGACCCAGGCCUCCGUCCCGGGCUUAGCUGGAGCCUUGCGCGCAUCCCCAUGCCCGUCCCCGGUCCCGUGAACACAGGCUGUGCCUGUGAGUGCAGGAAAGGUGCGAGGUGCUGGCUUCCCUUCUGUCACCCUCGAGCGGAGCUCCAAGCGCCUAACGUGGAGAUGAACACCCAGCAGGGACCCUUGCUGGCUGAGAGAGGCUGUUUCCACUGUCAUCCUAAAGCCUACUCCAGGCCUGCAUCUCAGCCUUCUCCAGGGUAGCUCUGUGCCCACGUGCUUCAUGCUGUCUGGUGCUGUGUCUGAAGCCAAAUCCAGCCACUGUCCUCCCACCAGGCUCAGGGCUUUCCUGGCUCUGUGGAUGGCACCAAAGACCUCUGCAUGUUCCAUCUUGGACUCCCACAUCACUCAUUCCAGGUCCCCGCUGGGCCAAGUUCUUCCCAACUGACCUGCUUCUUCAUCUCUCCCACCAGCACUACCGCCUUUAGUAAAAGGCGAAAGAUUUAUACAAUCUGAAGAGAAGCCAGAGUAUAGCACUACUGCCUUUAGGAUGCCUCCUCGCCUCCUAUUCUUUGCUUCCCUCCAUACACCCUGCACACGGGAACCAGCACUCAUCACCCCACCUUCACCCUGGGCGAAGUUCAGGCUCCACGUCCACUCAUCUUCACCCGGCAGCUGCCAGGCACACACAAGGGUCUGUGCCAGGUUAAGCCUAGCACUCAGGGCCUCUCAGGUCCGGUUCCUUCCUACAGUGUUCUUGCCAACCUGAGCCACCCACAAGUGCCUGGCCCUUCCCUGCAUCAGAAAUGUCCCCAUCCCAAUGCUGGAGACCCACUACAAAGGCUACUGCCCCAAGACUCUCUAGUCUCCAGCCUAUAGCUUCCUGGUCCAGCAGCCUUCUCUGCCCUGCAUGCUGUGGUAGGGCCUCAGCCUACCCAGCUGAGCUCUGCCUGGAGUGGGCAGCUACAAACACCUGCAAUCACCUAUGAGCCCUGUAGGGAAAGGACAUGGGAAAAAGGAAGUUGACCAGAAACCUGUGGGUAGAGGAGAGGCCUGAUGUUGGGGAAUCCCUUGGACCUCAGGGACCCCUCCUGGGGGACCCCUGGUGAGGCCCAAGGGAGACCAAGGCCAGAGUGGGCCAAGGGUCCAGAGGAUGCAGUGUGAUGUAGAGGGCAGAGGUGUCUGUUGUGACUGUUGCUGGGCAGGUGGGCCUAGCAUGGUGCCUGGCAUGUCCCAGUCAGUCCAGACAUGACACCAAACAUGGAGCUGUUGGUAACUUCUACUGACCUAGGCAGAGGGUAGAAGACUCCUUCUCCUCCACGGAGAAGGGGGCAUGGGCACUGUACAGCCACCAAGUGGGGAGGAUGAGUAGGGUGGGGGAAGAGGAACCCCCACCCUGCUUGGGGGAGGGCCUGGGCAAGCUGGCCUCAGAUGGCUGCCAUGGCCA